rnacentral:rRNA from 1 species
UACGGGGGGAGCAAGUGUUGUUCGGAUUUACUGGGCGUAAAGGGCGCGUAGGCGGCCACCGCAAGUCGACUGUGAAAUCUCCGGGCUUAACCCGGAAAGGUCAGCCGAUACUGCGGGGCUAGAGUGCAGAAGGGGCAACUGGAAUUCUCGGUGUAGCGGUGAAAUGCGUAGAUAUCGAGAGGAACACCUGCGGCGAAGGCGGGUUGCUGGGCUGACACUGACGCUGAGGCGCGAAAGCUAGGGGAGCGAACGGG